ensembl:misc_RNA Metazoa_SRP Metazoan signal recognition particle RNA
ACCAGGCAUGGUGGUUCAUGCUUGUAAUCCAUGCUGCCUUGGAGGCUGAGACUGGUGGAUCACUUGAGCUCAGGAGUUCUGAAUUGUAGUAGGGCUAAAUUGAUUGGCAUCUGCAUUAAAUCUGACACUAAGAUGGAGACUUCUUGGUAUAGGAGCCACCAGGUUGCCUAAAGAGGGGCAAAUUGACCUACAUCAGAAACAGAGGAGGUCAAAGUUUCUGUGUGGAUCAGUAGUGGGAUCAGACUUUUCAGUGGCCACUGCAUUUCAAGCCUGGAAGAGAUAGGGAGAACUACUUUCAA